rnacentral:rRNA from 1 species
GGUGUUCUCUUAAAUUUGGUGAGCAUAUACGACCAAAAAUUUGAUGAUACGUGUUGGAGAUGCCUUUAACCAAACCCAUGUAUCUCGGGCUGAACAACCUGGACAAUGCUCGCACAAGAGAGAGAGAAAAGCAUGCCCAAUUGGAUAUUUCACUUUAUCCAUAUAUGUUUGGCUUGUAUGCAAACCCUUAAACCCAGCUCAUAUGCGAGGAGAAUAUUGAGGUGUCUGGACAGUCCACCACAUCAGAUGUGGCUCACUCAGACCACUUUAAAUCAUUUUUCUCUCUCACCCCUUUCAACCCCACUAGUUAUAUGCAUGUGACCGGACAAUUGAGAAAGACGACCGUGCGCAUAGACAAAGCAGACACGCCUGAACAUUAUUGCAUGGAUUUAUGAGCGGCCAAAUUAAUCUGGUCCAGUUGGAGAUGAUUGAAACCGGUUAAGGCCCCCUUAUGAGUCAUAUGAAUAGGAAUAUCGCAAGAAUUGAGAUGACAUCUACCUCAAUUUUUAUAGAAAAAGAGAUAUCAUUUAAUGUAUAGGAUAGGAAUUUCUUCAUUGAGUAUAGGCUAAUAUCAUUUUCCUUUUAAAUCGAAAAAGGGUUUCCCCCGCUUUGUAUUAUAAAGCCAUAUGGAAAUAGAAAUUCAUUCCUAUAGAAUUCCUGCAAAACCAAAAGAGGCCUAAGAGGUGUUGUAGAGUAAUAAAAAGCUGCUUCACCGUUAAUUACCAGCGUGUGCUGCGGCGACGGCCUCUCCGCGGGAAUCCUUCGCUCGCAGGUCCGCCCAGUUGGCGCAGCUUGGUUGCUUCAGGUAGAACGCAUCCAGGAUCUCCACGGAAUUGCAGGUCAGGCUCCUGCUCCCCACGCCGAACCGCACCGGCGCAGGCGCCGUCGCCUCCCGCGCCACCGCGCUGGCGGCGGCAGCUGGCGACGCACCGUCGACGGUGAUGCUCCAAAGCGUGAGCAAAGAGAGGAACACGAGCAAGCGCCUUGUCGCCGGCAACUCCAUGCCCAUGCGCGAGGCUAAGAACUCACUGGUAGUGCUUAGCAGGGUGUAAAUUACUUGUUCAUCGGUUGGUUUAUAUCUAGGUCGAUACACAGCCUGGUGUGGCCAAAUUUCCCGGAAACUUCGGAGAGCUAGCACGAUGACUCUCGGGUCUUCGCUUGGUACGCGUGCUCCCGGAAAUUUCCCGGGGUAUAUAGCCGUGCGCAUCAGGGCACGCACAGUCACUUCUAGUCUUGGAUGGCUGGAGGCUGUCAAUUCCGCUUGGUGGUCUUCGUCGCAUCGGAGGAGGCGAUACGGAGGCGAUGGGUGGGACGACGGCGAGGUAGACUCGGAAGGUGAGGUCAAUGGAGCCGUGGGGUUGGUCAAUGACUGAAAGCGAAUUCAGAUUCUCUUCUCGCCCCUUUCCUUCGUGCAACCCCUUCUUCUUUCUCUCUCUACUUUCUUUCUCUGCAACAGCGCAAGUGUAGAACACUACAGCAAGAAUUCAAGAGCUGGCUGGCAGUAAUCCCCUUGUAUAAACUAUAAAUUAAAUCCAUAGUUUUAAAUAGCUGGCUAUAGCCCCUGACAAGAGGGAUCAUAUCACAAAGAAUCCUCAAGCUCAAACAAGAACAAAUUGUGAAGUUCGGAUGACACUUUCAUUGGAUAGAGUGGCAAGGAAUCAUGAAGUGGUUGAUGUAAUGCUUGUACACAAUCAUGGUCUUUACUUGCCACAAACCUUCCAUUUGAUGUUAUCACAAAGGAAGAUUUCAGAAGUUCAAGCUUUUGAAAUUGAGACAACUGAUGAUUCUGGAAUCAGGCCAAAAGAUGCACAUGAGCUAGCUAGUCGCUGGGUUGGAGGACCAAUGAAUCUCACCUACACUCCUCGUGAUCUAAAGAAUCACUUGUAGGGCAGUCGCCAAAGAGAGUUGGCAUAUGAACAAGCAGGAAGCAUGUUGAAGUAUUUUGAAGGCAAGAUCGCCGAGAAUCCUUCUUACCAAUAUGCUUUGCAAUUGGAUUGUGAGGAGAAUAUAAGCAAUAUAUUUUGGGCUGAUGCUAAGAUGGUCAUUGAUUAUGCACACUUUGGCGAUGUUGUCACAUUCGAUAUUAUUUUUUUUGGCACAAACAAAGAAUAUAGGCCUUUU